rnacentral:rRNA from 1 species
GACGAACGCUGGCGGCGUGCUUAAUACAUGCAAGUUGAGCGAUGAAGAUUGGUGCUUGCGCCAGUUUGGAGAGCAGCGGACGGGUGAGUAACGCGUGGGGAAUCUGCCUUUGAGCGGGGGACAACAUUUGGAAACGAAUGCUAAUACCGCAUAACAACUUUAAACAUAAGUUUUAAGUUUGAAAGAUGCAAUUGCAUCACUCAAAGAUGAUCCCGCGUUGUAUUAGCUAGUUGGUGAGGUAAAGGCUCACCAAGGCGAUGAUACAUAGCCGACCUGAGAGGGUGGGCAGCCACAUUGGGACGGAGACAGGGCCCAAAGGCAUACAGGAGGCAGCAGGAGGGAAUCUUCGGCAAUGGACGAAAGACUGAGCGAGCAACGCCGAGGGAGUGAAGAAGGAUGUCGGGUCGUAAAACUCUGUUGGUAGGGAAGAACGUUGGUGAGGGUGGAAAGAACAUCAAGUGACGGUAACUACACAGAAAGGGACGGCUAACUACGUG